rnacentral:rRNA from 1 species
ACGAACGCUGGCGGCGUGCUUAACACAUGCCAGUCGAACGGAAAGGCCCUGCUUUUGUGGGGUGCUCGAGUGGCGAACGGGUGAGUAACACGUGAGUAACCUGCCCUUGACUUUGGGAUAACUUCAGGAAACUGGGGCUAAUACCGGAUAGGAGCUCCUGCUGCAUGGUGGGGGUUGGAAAGUUUCGGCGGUUGGGGAUGGACUCGCGGCUUAUCAGCUUGUUGGUGGGGUAGUGGCUUACCAAGGCUUUGACGGGUAGCCGGCCUGAGAGGGUGACCGGCCACAUUGGGACUGAGAUACGGCCCAGACUCCUACGGGAGGCAGCAGUGGGGAAUAUUGCAAAAUGGGCGGAAGCCUGAUGCAGCAACGCCGCGUGCGGGAUGACGGCCUUCGGGUUGUAAACCGCUUUCGCCUGUGACGAAGCGUGAGUGACGGUAAUGGGUAAAGAAGCACCGGCUAACUACGUG